rnacentral:rRNA from 1 species
CAGUAGCCGCGGUAAUACGUAGGGUGCGAGCGUUAAUCGGAAUUACUGGGCGUAAAGCGUGCGCAGGCGGUUCGUUAAGACAGAUGUGAAAUCCCCGGGCUUAACCUGGGAACUGCAUUUGUGACUGGCGAGCUAGAGUAUGGCAGAGGGGGGUAGAAUUCCACGUGUAGCAGUGAAAUGCGUAGAGAUGUGGAGGAACACCGAUGGCGAAGGCAGCCCCCUGGGCCAAUACUGACGCUCAUGCACGAAAGCGUGGGGAGCAAACAGGAUUAGAUACCCCAGUAGUCCCUGUCUCUUAUAC